GUGAGUGUAGCUCAGUGGGCGAGAGCGCUGGACUGUGGCUCCAGAGGUCGGGGGUUCGAAGCCCCUCACUCACCCCA
rnacentral:tRNA from 1 species